UACAGAGGUCCCAAGCGUUGUUCGGAUUCACUGGGCGUAAAGGGUGCGUAGGCGGCGGGGCAAGUCUGAUGUGAAAUCCCGGGGCUCAACCCCGGAACUGCAUUGGAUACUGCCUUGCUAGAGUACUGGAGAGGGAACUGGAAUUUACGGUGUAGCAGUGAAAUGCGUAGAGAUCGUAAAGAAGGCCAGUGGCGAAGGCGAGUUCCUGGACAGUAACUGACGCUGAGGCACGAAGGCCAGGGGAGCAAACGGG
rnacentral:rRNA from 1 species